CUAAAUUAGCUGAAUUUAAGAAGGAAAACGAUAGUCUUUAUUAUAUAAGACAAAAGAUAAAAAUAAUAAUUUAUGGUAUUUAUUGGUAUUGAGACAAAAAACUCUACCCUGUGCCUAGGAGUUUCCUAAGAUUUCCUAAGUUCGAUCAAAACAACAAAAUAAGAUUAAACUUCCUAAAAAUUCCUAGGAUUUCCUAGUAUAAGCAGUAGACCAGAAAAUUGAAAUAAUUUGGAUAAGAAAAUCUUAGGAAGAAGAUUUGAAGUUCUACAAUUUAGGAACUCUUAGGAAAUUCUUAGGAAAUGCUAAAAGAACAUUUUCAAUACAAGAACAGGCCUCGCCAUACUUGCAUAUAUUGUCAGUUAUACUACAACAAUAAGAAAUGUAAUCAAAGACAGGCUUGGACUCGAACAUGAGUUUUAUGUGGUGUACUUUCAGAAUUCGCUCAGAAUAAUUAGUACUGCAUUGAAAAGAAAGAUAGGUAGGGUGAUAAUUGUAUAAAAGUCUUAGAUCCGAUUUGAACAUUAUAAAAUAAUAUAUAUUGUUUCUAAUAGAAAUGCUACUUGAGAUUAUAAAAAAAAAAAGAAGUCCCGCUUUGCAGAUAGAAGACGGCUCACCAGGGCCCGUAAAACCAAAAUGUACCGGGCGUCCCUCGCUUUAGUGGCCGAGAGGGGCUUGGGCCCAAGGCGCAAAAUCAUAACGGUCGAACGAAAGCCAUUAUCAUAACCUCCAAACAGAGAGCCGUUUAUUCCCGUCUUUUCUACGCGUAAUCCACCUUUUUUGAGGAUUUGAUGGCAGAACAUGGAUUGAAGUUAAAGGACAUAGAUAGAGAUAGUAAAAUGUGCUCGAGUUGAAAGCCAGAAAAGAAAGAAGUUUGAGGUAUAAGGAAUGUAUCAAUGCGUAAAUCGCAAGAAACGAAUAAAAACUUCGUAAACUUAAGUUAUUCACUAAUCACUGUACUUACAUCUAAAGCGCCUAUGCUUUAUAAAAUGUUACUUGAAGCACAAAAUUGAAUAACUUAGCUUAGUAAAAACCUAGUAAUCAGUCUUGCACCUAAAAUUUGUCCAGAUAUUUAUUUUGAAUAUCUUACGUUACGGUAGUUGGUUUUUGUCCGUAUAUUCUGAUCAUAUAUAUGAAGAACCUAGUUAUCUUUUCAAGCUAGCCUACCAGGUUCAAAUUUAAAUGGUGCAUAUAGAGGCAUUGGGCUUCUAGCUUCUUAUCUGAAUAUACAAAGAUGGAGGAGGAGGCAGUUCUUUUGGAAAACCGUAAUGACGCCAAAAAGGGUAAUGUUCAAAAGCUGUUAAAGUUGUUAUAGAAAAAUAAUAUUGUGUUAUGUUUGUUUCAGCUUUCUUAUGUUGGGACACUUGUUAGUAAUUUUGUCCUGGAUACCUUAUGUCAAAUGACUAUUAUUUUUCAAACAUUUUUUCAACUUAUAUUUUUGUUAUUUUUUAAACUGAAUUGUUUAAUUAAAUGAUUUGUCAAAUUCAUAA